CUGCUCCACCUCCUCUCUGUAGUUCUGGUCGUUGUCGUCUCCGAUGAGGCCCACCACCGUGGCUUCAAUCACCAUGUGAUUGUUGGUGAACCUGGGGACGCAGUCAUAUGUCAUCAGGGUGAACAGCAGGGGGGUCAGGACGCAGCCCUGAGGGGAGCCUGUGCUUAGGAUGAUGACAUCAGAGGCGUUCUGUCAAGCAGCCAGUUGCAGAGGGGUGUAUUGAAGCCCAGCUGUUCCAGUUUGCCCAUCAGAUGCUGUGGGAUGAUGGUGUUUAAAGCAAAACUGAAGUCCAGGAACAGAAUCCGCUCGUGGGUGCUCUUCUUUUUACUUACAACAUACUUUCCAUUAAGUUUGGAUGUAAUUCUCUGUGAACAGCAGGCUCCUUUGACAUUUUGGGCCUCACUCUGUUCAUGUUGAAGGUACUGGUGACUAUGUAACCAACUGUCAGCCAUCCUCCUUAUAUUUGUGUGCAGCUUUGAUCAUUUAUGUUAAAGAAAAGAAAAUUUUAUGUAAUAUUGGUAGGAAAAAGUAAAAUCAGCUGUCAUCAAAUCAGCCUGUUAACAAAGAAACAAAGUGACAGCAAUGAGUCAGGGUUGUUUUUGGCUGACAGGACACACCUUAAUCCUCUGCAGACCUGAAACCUUUUCCAAAGCGCAGAUUAAAUAUCUUUUCCCCCUCCUGCUUAUAGCCUCGCACUGACAAACGGAAUCAACCUGUCAUUCGCUGAUCUCCUUCCUUCUGUUUCGGCCGGGCGUGCUCUUCAUCCGACGGACUGCCGCAUCCUCUUCCUGCGCAGCGCUGCAUGGCAACGGGAGGAGGAGGCUGCGCGGGAUGAGGGAGGGUACCGCGGCCCCACGUGUCCUCCUCGCCGCAGACCCGCUCGCUUUCCCAUCCCUCCGUUUCCGCAUACCGCACACACACAUACACAGCUCCUGCCUUACACCCAGAGCCUACUACGCAUCCUUGCAGCGCUGCGGAGCGAUGCGUCCGCGAUGCGCGCUCUCUCCUUCCUCGCCGAUCCCAUCACCGAUCAGUCUGUAGGCCCGGAUCGAUUCAUGGUUCUUCUUUUUGAUAUGCAAAUUCUGACUUUCCGUUGCGGCGCUGGUCGGAGCUGAGAGGGCGAGAGGUAGAGAGGAGGGAGAGAUGAGAGGACGCGCAUCAUCAGAUGUUUAGCAGAUUAACUUUGGAUCCUCGCCAUCAUCUCUGCUGUGCGUUUUUGGAUCUUUGUCCUCCUCUCCACCUGCCGGGGGGUUGUUGAAGUUUGGCGGGGUUCUCAAUGCGGUAAUCAGGGGGAAUAUGUGAAGAUCAUGCUGGUGGUGUGGUGCUUCAUGGUCUUUGGUGCAGUGGGCGAGAGGCUUGCGGUGGCAGGUGCAGGUGGAGGUUUGUGGGACUGGUUUGCCCCCUCAGGCCAGCAGGAUAAUGGGGACACUGAGAUCACCUAUCCCAAACGCCUGGUGCAGCAGAUCAAGUCAGAGGAGGAAAUGGCUCAUGGCUUCUUGGAUACCAGGGUAAAGAAUAGCAGUGGGGGCAGCUUGCCUGUCCACCUGGCCCUGAGCUGUUUUCAAGUCGAAGCCUUCGGACACACCUUCACUCUUGACCUAGAACUAAACCAUCACCUGCUGUCUUCAGAUUAUGUGGAGAGGCACUUUAACUACAAUGGCAAACCCUUGCAGUCUAUGGGAGGAGAGCACUGCUACUACCAGGGAAGGCUAAGAGGUUUACCAGACUCCUGGGCAGCUGUCUCUACGUGUCACGGCCUGUGUGGCAUGUUCUCUGAUGGUUUCUACUCUUAUGGAAUUGAGCCUGUUCACAAUGCAAGCAAUGAGGAGGAUGGAGCUCAUUUAAUCCGCAGGAUGCCUGAUAUCAGACUUUCCCAGCACUGUCUAGAGUGUACAGAGAAUAAUGAGAAGGACGGCAGUGAAAGUGUUGAAGACGACAGCAAACCAGACCUCAAUCAGGAUCAGCAGGUGACUGGGGGGCUGAGGAGAUCCAAAAGGUUUGCCCGCAGGCCCUCUGUUCAGAUGGAGACCAAAUACAUUGAGCUGAUGGUGGUAAAUGAUUACGAUUUGUUUGUGCAGCUGCGUCGUUCGAGCAGCCAAACCAAAAACUUUGCCAAAGCUGUAGUCAACACAGCAGACACGAUCUUUCAGGAGCAGCUGAACACCAGGAUUGUUUUGGUAGCCAUGGAAACCUGGACCUCAGAAAACCUGAUGCCGGUGAUGGAGGACCCGCUGAUUACGCUGCAGAACUUCAUGAAGUACAGGAAGGACAGCAUCAGGGAGCAGAGUGACGUUGUUCAGCUUUUCUCAGGACGUACAUUUCACAGUAGCCGCAGUGGGACCGCCUACACAGGAGGGGUGUGUUCUCCAACAAAAGGAGGAGGAAUCAAUGAGUAUGGUAGUGUCGGGGCAAUGGCCAUCACUUUGUGUCAAAGCCUUGGCCAGAACAUUGGGAUGAGAUGGAACAACGCGCGGACCUCAGCAAGUGAGUGCAGAUGCCCAGAUGCCUGGGUAGGAUGCAUAAUGGAAGACACUGGAUAUUAUCUGCCCAGAAAGUUUUCUCGCUGUAGUGUUGACGAGUACAUCCAGUUCUUGCUCCAGGGGGGUGGCAGCUGCCUCUUUAACAAACCCAAUAAGCUGUUGGAUCCUCCUGAGUGCGGAAACGGCUUUGUGGAGCCAGGAGAAGAGUGUGACUGUGGAUCUCAGGUGGAGUGCGCCCGCAGGGGGGGAUCCUGCUGCAAAAAGUGUACCCUUACCCAUGAUGCCAUGUGCAGUAAUGGACUCUGCUGCAGUGGCUGUAAAUAUCAGCUGAGAGGUGUUGUUUGUCGAGAGGCCGUGAACGACUGUGAUAUUUCUGAAACCUGCACAGGAGACUCCAGCCAGUGCCCUCAUAAUGUCCACAAACUGGAUGGAUACAUGUGUGAUAACAGCCAGGGGCGCUGUUAUGGCGGACGCUGCAGGACUCGUGAUGGACAAUGCAAAGGACUCUGGGGUUAUAAUUCAGCAGACAGGUUCUGUUAUGAGAAGCUGAAUGCUGAAGGGACCGAGAAGGGAAACUGUGGCCGUGGGCCUGGAGGGAAAGGCUGGCUUCAGUGCAACAAGCCGGAUGUACUAUGUGGCUUCCUUUUCUGUGCAAAUGUCACAACAAAGCCAAAAUUUGGUGACCUGCAAGGUGAGGUGACAAGCUUCACCCUCUAUCAUCAGAACAAGUACCUGGACUGCAGAGGCGGCCAUGCUUUGCUAGAGGACGGCUCAGACAUGGGCUACGUCGAGGAUGGCACGCCCUGCGGUCCCAACAUGAUGUGUUUGGAAAGACGCUGCCUCCCUGUCUCAGCCUUUAACCUCAGCGUCUGUUCAGGAUCGAAAUUUGGACACAUUUGCUCCGACCAUGGGACCUGCAGCAAUGAGGUGAAGUGUAUCUGCGACAGGGACUACACAGGAAAGGACUGCAGUGUUUUCGAUCCCAUCCCUGAGCCCACAGUCCCAACCGGCCCGGAGAAAAAAGUCUGCCAAUGAGAGAGAAUUUAAGCAGCUGCUCUUUUAGGGCCAAAGCAGCCACCCUGAGAAAAGAGGGUGUCCAGCUGAGAGAGCAGGAGAGAGGGAAAUGAUAAGAAAGUAAUGCAAUUCUCUCUCCCUUUUCUUUGUGUACCUGUUGUCCCCUUUGACCUGCCUUACGUUGCUCAUCUGCCACCCAACGUGAUGCAACCCCUCCCUUCAUCUCUCUGUCUCUAUCUGCAGGUAUCCCACCAUCUGCCUCUCUUUCUCUAGUUGAUGUCGUUGACGUACCGUGUUGAUGCUGUCUUAUGACGUGUGUUUUUUAGUGGUGUUGUUUUGUUUCUGCCCCUCCUCUUCCUCCGCACCCUUCCUCCUCCCCUCCUUCCUCUGUGCAGGUCCCAGUGGCACCAAUAUCAUAAUAGGGUCCAUCGCAGGUGCUAUUCUCCUGGCAGCUAUAGUCCUAGGGGGAACAGGAUGGGGAUUUAAGAACAUUCGAAGAGGAAGAUCUGGAGGAGGAUAAGAUCACACUCUGUCCCUCUGUC